UCGAAAUUGGUCUUAUUACCAUCGAUUUUCACUGAUUUAUGAUCAAUUUGACCGGCUCUUGCCAAUUCUAAGAUUAAUGUUUAGCAGUAAAAGAACCAAACAUCUCACCAGUUCCUCAUUCAAUCGAUUAAAUGGUUACAUAAUCCAAGGUAUGGGAAUUACUAUGUUCUCAUAUAAAAAUAAACUAUACAAGUUCGUAAGCUUAUACAACACCAAUUUAACACGUGCAAACGUAGAUCGAUGCAACCAUAACUAUUGCGGAGUCCCGUCACACAAAUUCAAUGAUUUGUUGCCUACAAAAUUUUCUAUACGAUCUACAGAGGGACAAUUGCCUAUGUGA